GGAUGUGAGGGCUAUCUGGCUGUGACAUCUGUUACCCUACUCAUCCCCAAGGUUGAUUUGGCUGAUCUGGCUGGCUAAGAGGGUGUCCUCCUCCUCCCUCAAUGCUCCAUGUGAGUCCCUCCCCAAGCUGCAUGCUCAAUCUAGGACAACCACCCCAGAUAGAGGAGCAUCCUUCCUUCCCCAAGGGUAUAUGAGUAGCUGCGCCCCACUGCUAGAACCUCCAAACAAGCUCUCAAAAAUACUGAUUUGAUCAAAUUCUUUUCUGUGUCUAUUGAGAUAAAUAAUGUUUCUGAUUUAG
rnacentral:snRNA from 1 species